rnacentral:lncRNA from 1 species
AGACUUAAUUCCAGGCAUGUAGUUUCCAGUUUAAAACACACCAAGUCAUGUUUUUCCUACAGGAAACCUAGAAUUAAUCAUCAAUUAGUCGCGCAACAAUGACUGCUCAACAGUGCACCCAGCCAUCUCUAAACCAGUUCCGAAGAAAGAUGGUGUCAGAGAUAAAUCAGAUAGAAGUCAUGAUCGGAAAUCAAAGAAAAGAUCCUGGCGUCCACCAAGACUGAAGAACAUUGAUCGAAGUUCUGCUCAAACUAGAGAAGUAACCGUCAACAAUGUAACUGUUGUGAUAACAGAGUAUAAAGCAAAGGCAAAGAAAACCAUCUCAGACCAAUCAAGCUCUGCCUCGUCAGAAACAGGAAGUAACUCUGAAUAUAGUCUAGAUAUGAAAAGUGCUGAUAUAGAUUCUAGAAGCUCAUAAUUACCUCUUAUGCUCAACCUUUCUUUUCGACCAAUUAUGUAAAGGUUACUCAGCAGUCAAGACAGAGAAUCACAGUGGGCAAACUUUCUUCAUAUUACCUUCCUGUGCAGGCUGGUGGCUGUAUUUAACAGUCUUUGCCUAAUUACAAAGCAAAAAUAAUCGACUAAUAACCGUAAAUUAUUUGACAACUAAAUUGUCAUAGUACCAGUAAAAAGUAAGAAAAAAAAGUGAAUUCAGUAAUCCUAUUAUCAUAAUAUAAGUAAAAACUCUUCUGAUGUUUUUGUUAAUUAUUAUAUAAAGAUCUGCAUGAGUGUAAUGUAUUUCGUUAGUUUUAACAUGAAAGUUGAAUAUCUUGUUUUAUUUUAAAAUUAUUGAGUACUUUAUCUUGAUCUCAACAGUAUUAAAACAUGUAAACAUGCCAACUGCAUCAAGCUGUAAAGUAAUACAUCUUUAUUUGGCCUCUUCUCAUUUGAUCUUUUUAUGUUUGAUUUUUAAAAGACAGGGACAGAAUUUUCAACUCUACUCAAAAUCUGUAGAAAAAGAAAGAAGAGGUAAAUAACGGAGGUAAUCUAGAAUAAAAAAUUGAAAAAUAUAUUGACGUACCAAUGAUUAAGGGAGAAUGAGGCGGUAGCAAGG